ACCCAUCUCCACGGCUUCAAAACAAGGGAUCCUAAACUAUUCAGACCACCACCCAGCUCAUGGAAAAGUCCAGCCCAUUAACAAGUAACCUUAGCUAGGCUAGGGAACAUCCAUCUUAAUGAAACUCCCCACAUUCGCACCGCCAAUGUUGCCAAUGAACAAAACCCAGGGAUUUUCAAUCAUCAAAAAGCACCAAAGGUGCCAUGCAAGGCAUAACCGGAACAA
rnacentral:misc_RNA from 1 species